UGAACAGGAAUGCAAUCUUUCUAUGUCUCAU
rnacentral:piRNA from 1 species